UACAGAGGGUGCAAGCGUUGUCCGGAUUUACUGGGCGUAAAGAGCGCGCAGGCGGUCGUUCAAGUCGCGUGUGAAAGCCCCCCGGCUCAACUGGGGAGGGUCACGCGAUACUGAUCGACUCGAAGGCAGGAGAGGGAAGUGGAAUUCCCGGUGUAGUGGUGAAAUGCGUAGAUAUCGGGAGGAACACCAGUGGCGAAGGCGACUUCCUGGCCUGUUCUUGACGCUGAGGCGCGAAAGCUAGGGGAGCAAACGGGG
rnacentral:rRNA from 1 species